UUGUAUGGGAAAGUAAAAAGCAUUGAGUUCAAAAGAUGAAAAAAGAAAAAUGCAUGUGAAAGAAAAGAAAAGAAGACAAGAGAAAAACAUGUAAAGAAGAACUCAAUGUAACAUGAAAAGGGAAAAGUUGGGAAUGAGUGAGAUUGGUUAAAAAGAGAGUAUGCUUGAACUUUGAAUAAUGAAUUAAACUCUCUUAACUCAAGGAUUUUGUAUUCCAGAAAAACCAAUUUUCUUGUUAGCCCAGCCACAAUACAAGCCUUGGAAAAAGUCCUUGUGAUGACAUAUGCAUGUGAAAGAUGUUGAUUGUUUUAGAUGAAUGACAAUAUUGUUUUAUGUGACAUGUGAACAGUAAAGAGUAGAGUGACCUCCUUAAACAAUUGAGUGAUUGAGUGAAACA
rnacentral:lncRNA from 1 species